GUCCCUGUAGCGCAAUGGACAGCGCAUUGUACUUCUUAUCCAAAGGUAGUGGGCUCGAAUCCCACUUGGGAUG